rnacentral:rRNA from 1 species
UACGUAGGGUGCAAGCGUUAAUCGGAAUUACUGGGCGUAAAGCGUGCGCAGGCGGUGAUGUAAGACAGAUGUGAAAUCCCCGGGCUCAACCUGGGAACUGCAUUUGUGACUGCAUCGCUGGAGUGCGGCAGAGGGGGAUGGAAUUCCGCGUGUAGCAGUGAAAUGCGUAGAUAUGCGGGGGAACACCGAUGGCGAAGGCAAUCCCCUGGGCCUGCACUGACGCUCAUGCACGAAAGCGUGGGGAGCAAACAGG